rnacentral:rRNA from 1 species
GACGAACGCUGGCGGCGUGCUUAACACAUGCAAGUCGAACGGAAGGGCCCUGCUUUUGUGGGGUGCUCGAGUGGCGAACGGGUGAGUACACGUGAGUAACCUGCCCUUGACUUUGGGAUAACUUCAGGAAACUGGGGCUAAUACCGGAUAGGAGCUCCUGCUGCAUGGUGGGGGUUGGAAAGUUUCGGCGGUUGGGGAUGGACUCGCGGCUUAUCAGCUUGUUGGUGGGGUAGUGGCUUACCAAGGCUUUGACGGGUAGCCGGCCUGAGAGGGUGACCGGCCACAUUGGGACUGAGAUACGGCCCAGACUCCUACGGGAGGCAGCAGUGGGGAAUAUUGCACAAUGGGCGGAAGCCUGAUGCAGCAACGCCGCGUGCGGGAUGACGGCCUUCGGGUUGUAAACCGCUUUCGCCUGUGACGAAGCGUGAGUGACGGUAAUGGGUAAAGAAGCACCGGCUAACUACGUG